UCAAUGUCAUGAAUCUGAUAUUUAUUUCAGGGCAAGCAACCAGUAUCCCUCAAUCACAACACUUCCUCCAGCAUGCCUGCUCCAACAUCCAAAGGAUCAACCAAUCACAGCACAGCUUGGUAGAGGACAACAAGUGUAUAUGUGUCAUAUGAAAUUACAGGACAAACUACUCAGAGCGUGAAAAGAUCGAGCCGGCAAGCAACCAGUAUCCCUCAAUCACAACACUUCCUCCAGCAUGCCUGCUCCAACAUCCAAAGGAUCAACCAAUCACAGCACAGCUUGGUAGAGGACAACAAGUGUAUAUGUGUCAUAUGAAAUUACAGGACAAACUACUCAGAGCGUGAAAAGAUCGAGCCGGCAAGCAACCAGUAUCCCUCAAUCACAACACUUCCUCCAGCAUGCCUGCUCCAACAUCCAAAGGAUCAACCAAUCACAGCACAGCUUGGUAGAGGACAACAAGUGUAUAUGUGUCAUAUGAAAUUACAGGACAAACUACUCAGAGCGUGAAAAGAUCGAGCCGGCAAGCAACCAGUAUCCCUCAAUCACAACACUUCCUCCAGCAUGCCUGCUCCAACAUCCAAAGGAUCAACCAAUCACAGCACAGCUUGGUAGAGGACAACAAGUGUAUAUGUGUCAUAUGAAAUUACAGGACAAACUACUCAGAGCGUGAAAA
rnacentral:lncRNA from 1 species